UCUGCGCGCCCCGCCCCGGGGGCACUCCCGCCGCCGCCGCCCGCGCGUGCCACUCCCGGGACGGUUCCUGCGCGGCGCCCGCCGGCCGCACCAUGGCUCCCCGGGCCGCCGUCGCGCUGCUGCUGGUCGGCCUGCUCGGCACGCUGGUGCCCGCUCGGGGCCAGGAUUUCGAUUUGUCGGAUGCCCUCGACAACACUGACAAGAAACCCACGGCGCCCCCCAAGAAGCCCGGCACAGACAGUUCGGACUUGAAUUUGGAAGAUGCCCUCGGCGGGGGAGGAAGCCACGACCCAGUACCACCUAAACCACCCAAACCGAAGCCUAACCCAGACCCCAAGCAGCCUGGAUCUUCUGGUGGCUUCUCAGAUUCCGAUCUCCUCGAUGGAGCCUCAGAUGCAGGGGGCGGUGGCGAUGGCCCCGGCGGUGGAGGCCCAAGGCCUGAUGGGGAGGAGCAGGCUGACUCCCCUGGGGUGGUCCCUGGCAUCGUGGGGGCCGUCGUGGUGGCCGUGGCUGGGGCAAUUUCUAGCUUUAUCGCCUACCAGAAGAAAAAAUUGUGCUUCAAAGAAAACGACCAGCCGAGGAUGUAGGCACGUGCAGAACGCCCCGUGCAGGCCCGAAGAUGUUCCCGUGUGCCGACCAAGGUGACGUGAGCUCGAAAAACCAGCAGAGCACCAACUCGGACCAACCUGUUCAGUGGACCCUUCUGGAGAAAUAGAAGCUAUGCAGCCGUCGAACGCGGCCCCCGUGUUUCCAGCAGGAUCCAGCCCCGACCUGCCCACGCCUGUGCUCACGUUGAGGCUCUCUGUCAUGUUCUGCUUGACAUGUGUUUUUGCCUGUUUGCACCAUGCUGGGUGGAGGAACGUCACUAACACCCCGUGUUCAUUCGGAGGGGACGCGUGGUCAGCUUAUCCGUGGCCGCUAGGGGUUUCCCCAGGGGCUGUGAAAGGCCCACCACGCAUCACAAAGUCAUUUGAAUCCCGACCCCACUGAAGUUCCCCCCACCCCCGCCCCCAUCCCGGGAGCUCUGGGCCAUUGACCCUGGGAGACAGCGAGACAAGCCUUCAAUUAGUGUCCUCAGAAUUUCCUUCAUUUGGAAGGAGUUUUGUUUUUUUGUUUUUUUUUCAGAUCAGACUAAUAAAGAAAGAAAUAAGGAACCAAGUACUUUUUACUUAAAUGCAAUGCCAUGGGGUGACUCCUAAAGGCUGUGGGACACAGUGGUAGGGCUGUGGUCCCUUUUCUGGGGCUGUGACACAAAUGACCGACCUAAGGGUAGCCUUUCAGUUUUGGGAUUUUCUUUCUCUGCCUGUUUCCUUCCACCGGUCUUAGGACAUCGGGGACAAGGCCUUCUCAGUGUUCAGAUACUCCCCUGCAGGGGAUACUUCUCUGCAUUCAGAUACUCCCCUGCAUUCAGAUACUCCCAUGCAUCCAGAUAACCCUCUGCAUCCAAACACUCCCCUCCAUCAGAUACUCCCCCAUAGCAGAUGCUUCAUAUGCAGAUACUCCCCUGCAUUCAGAUACUCCCCAGCAUUAGAUAUUUCAUAUUCAGAUACUCCCUUGCAUUCAGAUACUCCAGAUACUCCCCUGCAUUAGAUACUUCAUAUUCAGAUACUCCCCUGCAUUAGAUACUUCAUACUCAGAUUACCACCCUGCUUUCAGAUACUCCCUUGCAUUAGAUACUUCCGAUACUCCCCUGAAUUAGAUACUUCAUAGAUACUCCCCUGCAUUCAGAUACUCCCCUGCAUCAGAUAGUCCCCUCAUUCUUCCAUGUGGGUUUUUUGUUGUUGUUGUUGUUGGGAAUUUGUUAACUAUAACGUCUUUAGAAAAUGUUUUAACUGCUUUGAUGUGAAAGCUCCCUUUAACUUUGGGGUAAGACUGCCUUGUGGCAGGGCAUCUCCUGAUGUGUUUCCUAACAGCUUGAAAUGAAAGGAAAGCAUACUCUUCCUUCUCGAAAUAAACAAGGACUUUCGUACAUUGAGAAACACUGCCCCCCACCCCCACCCCGUGUAGGGCUCUGCACGCACUGGAAGGCUGCUGACUUGCAGGCUUGUAUAUACUCUUGGGAAGGCUUCAUUGAGAUUAAUCGCAUCCAGGGCAGAAGUUCUGAUGUUCCGUUUUUCCGUGGCUCAGGUAUGUGCGGAAGUUCCAUGUGCGGAACAUGGCCGUGGGGAGUCCAGAGGACCUAACACACGCAUCUCAAGUGUUGGGGUAGACCAGUUGUCAGGGGGCUGAGGGCUGGGUUAUCCAACACAGCUGGGUCCCAGUGCUACCUAACACACAACACCUAGGUUUACAAACGCAGCACACAGGUGUCCACAUUCUUCCCGAACGAGCCUUCAGCAUCAGACCGUGCACAUCGGCUUGCUUUACAGUAAGAAAAAAGUGCAUAAAAUCGUUUUGUGACUCUGUGAAUAACAUUGAUGUUUUUACAAGCAUUGCAGUCCUACUAUAAGCAUAAAUGUCUCCUUACAGGAGAGUAGAGGGGAGCUGUGGGUGACUCAUUCAUAAAUAAAUGUAUACAUGUAAGA